rfam:Octopus bimaculoides Scaffold251663_contig_25, whole genome shotgun sequence.
GGCAGUUUAGCUUAACGGUAAAGCACUCAGCUGGAGUCUUGGGAGGUGCGGGUUCAAGUCCCAUGACUGUUU